AAAAAGGACAGAAGAGAGGAGUGAAAAGGAACAGUGGGCCAUCAGGAGAGAAGCGAACAAGUAGUCAACUCUAAGGUUCAUGAAUAAUGAACUACUGUGCUACCCCCUGAAGAAGUAUAGGAUAAAGUAAAGAUAUUGGACAACCAUCAUCAUUCCAGGACUAUUAUCCUGAUAUUCAGAGAAGGUGUACAAUAUAGUGAUUCAACACUUCCACACAACAGCCGUUGCUUAUCACAAGUGCACUUCCUCACCCCCAUCACCAAAUACAGCCUAACUACUUUGACAAGCCUGCUUGACCAAUUAGAUGGUCAAUGGAAGCUUGAAGCCAACAUUCCUUGCACAGAUCAGCUUGUUCAAGAUGGAGACAUAGGAUGAUACAUGUGUGAUACAUACAUAUGAAUAAUGGCCCUGGGAAAUCUGUUAUGGAAUGUCUGGCGCCUGUUGCUUGCUUGCAAUCUCUUUUUGCUUUUGUACCUUAUUCUUUGCCUCUAAGUAAUAGUCUCACAUUUGUGUUCUCUGUAGAGUCUGAUUAAAUGCUUUCAAAUAUCCACAUUGUGAAAAAAUCUUUGCAACCUGACAAAGGGCAUAUAUGAAAAACUAACAAUUUAUACUUAAUGGUGAAAGACUGAAUGCUUUACCUCUAAGAUUAGGAGCAAAGCGAGGUGGUACAUUUUCAUUAUUUCUAUUCAAUAUUAUACUGGAGAUUCUAGCCUGUGCAUUCAGGUAGAAAAAGAAAAGGCAGUGAUCUUUGUAAAAAAAACCCUAGAAAAUCUAUGAAGAAAGCUAUCAGAACUAGUAAAUGAAUUUAAUGAAAUUGCAAGGAUAUAAGAUCAAUUUACAAAAUUAAUUAUAUUUCUAUUGCAUUAGUAGUGAACAACUGGAAAUUGAUAUUAUGAAAAUAAUGCCACUUUUAAUGAUAUCAAAUAUAUGAAAUAUUUAGGUAGAAAUUUGACAAAAGACAUGUGAGUUCUAUACACUGAAAAUUGGGAAACCUACCUGGGAUAAAAUAAAAAUCUGAAAAAUGGAGAAAUUUCUUAUAUUCAUAAUUUGAAUGACUCUGUAUUGUUAAGACAUCAUUUCUCUCCAAAUUCUUAUUUAGAUUCAAUGCAAUCUCAAUCAAAAUCUCAGUAGGCUUUAUUUUGGAAAUUAAAAAUUUGUUUCUAAAAUUUAUAUGAAAUUACAAGACAUGUAAUUUUCAAAAGACACUGUUACCAAAAAAAAAAAAAAAAAAAAAAAAAAAAGCAAGCAAAGGCCUGGGGAAAAUACUUGCAUUACCUAUAUCUGAGAACGAAAUUUUGUCUUGAAUAUAUAAAUAAUUAACCUAAUUCAAUAAUCAGAUAAUUAGACUAUAACACAAUUUAAAAUGGGUGAAAGAUUUUAACACUUUUGUUUUGAUUUUUACCUUUUUAUGUGGAUAAGUCCUGCAUAGCCUACAUUUCUUUGAGCUACCAGCACCCAUCACAGUUAGUAAAGAUGUUUUACAUGUGUCUAAAUCUAUUGAGGAAAAUUUAAAUGAAAUCUGCUGCCAUAAAAUUUGAAUUUUUUUCUAUAGUCUUUAUGAAAGUUAUUAAUGGAAUAAACUAAUGUGAAUAUUCAGACUACUGACUACAGUAGUUUAGCAAUAGUAUAACACUCUUCCUGUUCAAUUUUGGUGUCUUUUGUGUUUGGUAGUCUAGACAUAGCCUGUGUUUCUUAGACAUGUUUAUAAAUGGGUUGGAAAGGUGGUCUAAAUAAAGGCAUUACUGAAAUACAAAGCA